AGCGAACGCUGGCGGCAGGCCUAACACAUGCAAGUCGAACGCACCUUCGGGUGAGUGGCGGACGGGUGAGUAACACGUGGGAACGUGCCCUUUGGUACGGAACAACUGAGGGAAACUUCAGCUAAUACCGUAUGUGCCCCUAUUCUUAGCGGGAUGGGCGGGAAAGAUUUAUCGCCAUUGGAGCGGCCCGCGUUGGAUUAGGUAGUUGGUGGGGUAAAGGCCUACCAAGCCGACGACCCAUAGCUGGUCUGAGAGGAUGAUCAGCCACACUGGGACUGAGACACGGCCCAGACUCCUACGGGAGGCAGCAGUGGGGAAUCUUGCGCAAUGGGCGAAAGCCUGACGCAGCCAUGCCGCGUGAAUGAUGAAGGUCUUAGGAUUGUAAAAUUCUUUCACCGGGGAAGAUAAUGACGGUACCCGGAGAAGAAGCCCCGGCUAACUUCGUGCCAGCCGCCGCGGUAA
rnacentral:rRNA from 1 species